AGGCGCUGUCUGCUGCUAAACUGGACACACUCACACUGCUUGUGGACCAUGGAGGAGAGAACAGGACCAAACCAGGACCCAGGAAAUACGGCUGUCAGCUCACACUGGAUCCAAACACA